rnacentral:rRNA from 1 species
AUUGAACGCUGGCGGCAUGCCUUACACAUGCAAGUCGAACGGUAACGCGGGGCAACCUGGCGACGAGUGGCGAACGGGUGAGUAACGCAUCGGAACGUGCCCAGUAGUGGGGGAUAGCCCGGCGAAAGCCGGAUUAAUACCGCAUACGACCUACGGGUGAAAGGGGGGGAUCGCAAGACCUCUCGCUAUUGGAGCGGCCGAUGUCAGAUUAGGUAGUUGGUGGGGUAAAGGCCUACCAAGCCGACGAUCUGUAGCUGGUCUGAGAGGACGACCAGCCACACUGGGACUGAGACACGGCCCAGACUCCUACGGGAGGCAGCAGUGGGGAAUUUUGGACAAUGGGCGAAAGCCUGAUCCAGCCAUGCCGCGUGCGGGAAGAAGGCCUUCGGGUUGUAAACCGCUUUUGUCAGGGAAGAAAUCUUCUGGGUUAAUACCUCGGGAGGAUGACGGUACCUGAAGAAUAAGCACCGGCUAACUCUGUGCCAGCAGCCGCAGUAA